UUUCCGUAUGAGCGUGGGAUUUUUUCUGCAUGUAAAUGUAUGUCAGUGGAAGGUUUUGAGACACUAAAUAACCCCAAAUUCGUUAUUCUUUAUUUAGGCAUAUGGGCUUUAAUGUAUUACAAAACCCGAUUUCGCAAAAUUCGUAUUUUUGAUAUUAUUGAUUAGCGGUAGACAAUAUAGGGUUUAUUUUAUAUUACAAAAAACAAUGAACAUAAAUAUUUGGAUUAAUACAUGUCUUCCAAAAUUUUAAUGACCAAAAAUAUAUCUCACACUUACAAUCUGAGAAAAAAAUAUCAAUUUUUGAACAAUUUGCUCAUUAUUUUCUGUACUUAUUAUUUUUAAAGGCUAGUUUAUCACGUGUUUUAGGAUUUCUAUCAGAAGAAAUCCACUUCCAACAGAUUACAGAAGCAAAAAUUAACAAGUUUCUAAAUGGGACCCAAAAACACUAUAAAAUAGUAACCCAUAUACCUUUUAAAAUCAGAAUGAUAAUUCUUCAGAACUGGAAGAGCUUUCUUGGUUUUGGUUUAUCUUGUAAUCCUCAUCUCUAAAUAGUUCAUACUUUUCUAUAUCUGACUGAUUUAAGCUUCAUCUAUUUGCUCAUCUCUCAUUGGGUUACCUGAAAAGGAUAGGUACUAAAAGAUUCUGUGACAGACUAAAUAAUUUACUUUAUAUUAUGAAGGAGAAAACGGUCUAAAUCAUAAGUUGCAAAGGGAAAUCAAAUUGAUUAGUGGUUUAUUCCCUUAUACCUUUUAAAAUCCAAUAAUAUGUUAAUACUCUUAUACCUUCUAAAAGGUAUCCAGAUUUUACGAGGUUAUUUUACACGCAUAUUCUUUAUUUUCGCGUAAAUCUAAAUGUAAUUAUAAUAUUUACUUAUUUGUCAACAAGCAGAGUAAGAUACUCUCAGUUAAAAACCUAAGAUUGCAUCAAUAAUCAUGGAUUGAACUUACCACGUCCUCUAGUCAGUCAAGAUGGCCAGACUUUUCGCCGGAAAUUACAUAUAUUUUAUUUUUCUAUUGGCACUAUUGCUUAACCAUGGACAAAAACAUACUUUCCAGUAGCCGGAUAAAAAACAGUAAUUAGAUUUGGCGCGUAAUUUAAAAUGUUACGGCGUUUUCAAAUCAGAUACUGUCAGAUACCUUUAAAAAGGUACCGUGGGCGUUUAUGUCAUAAAGUUGGAUAUCAGCUUGGGCCGGUACCACUAUCGAGCUGCAUGCCUUUUAAUAGGUAUCUGGGCGUUACGAGGUUAAA